AGCGAACGCUGGCGGCAGGCCUAACACAUGCAAGUCGAACGAAGUCUUCGGACUUAGUGGCGGACGGGUGAGUAACACGUGGGAACGUACCUUUUGGUUCGGAACAACUCAGGGAAACUUGAGCUAAUACCGGAUGAGCCCUUAGGGGGAAAGAUUUAUCGCCGAAAGAGCGGCCCGCGUUAGAUUAGCUAGUUGGUGAGGUAAAGGCUCACCAAGGCUACGAUCUAUAGCUGGUCUGAGAGGAUGAUCAGCCACACUGGGACUGAGACGCGGCCCAGACUCCUACGGGAGGCAGCAGUGGGGAAUCUUGCGCAAUGGGCGAAAGCCUGACGCAGCCAUGCCGCGUGAAUGAUGAAGGUCUUAGGAUUGUAAAAUUCUUUUACCAGGGACGAUAAUGGCGGUACCUGGAGAAAAAGCCCCGGCUAACUUCGUGCCAGCCGCCGCAGUAAUAC
rnacentral:rRNA from 1 species